AAUCCGUAAGUAGGUUACCAUCCUUAUUCCUGGGAUCAGUGUGAAUAAUUAACCAUGAUCAAAGGUCCCUGUAGCUCAAAACAUUGAUUGACACUCCAUCCCCUUUGCCUGUAUCUGUACCUACUUUGAUUUUGGAGUUACAAUGGACUCUCCUCCCCCACAUUCCUUUGAAAUCAGGGGCCCCUCUCAAUUGCAUUUCCCAUUGCCGUUUCUCUGCAGAGGAGCGCUAUAUUCUUUUCACCCUGCCUUGCUGGGGUGCUGAUAUUGCCACUCAGAUUUCUCGGUGCCAUAUGGUGGUAAAUAAAAUGUGCCCGGGGUUCUUGGAGCUCCAGCAUAAAGCACGAGGUCCCAAGACAGAAGACUGCAUGAUGUAAAGAACAGCUUCGGCACCUCCUUCAGAAAUAUUUUACUCCUCACAUACUGUGAGAAUUAGAUCUGGAGUCAUUUGAGUACCUGUACUGAUCUGAAAAGAUCAUAAAACUUUGAUCUCCACAGGAGGGAAAAUGGUGGCAGCCCAGACUAGACCCCCUGAUUAAGCCCCAAGAUGCCAGGAAGACUGAAGGAAUGCACACAUCAAAAGGGACAAAGCCUGAAACAUGGAGCCCUUUCUGGACCGCCUCAGAUUCACCUGGACAGAGACUUCUCAUCCUAGGAAAGGCACAUUUGCACUCCAGAAGGCACAUUAGCAGUGAGCUGGAUCAGAGGUGGAGCAGCCAGGACUCAAACUGAUGCCCAUAUGGGAUACUACAGCACCAGCCCCUCAUUUGUGUUCUUAUCACCUUAUACAUAGCCUGAAGGAGAUCACAUGCUCAAGUAUUCAGAGCUGACACAUCAUGAUGUCCACAACUUGUUCUCAAAUCAGUCAGAGAAAGAAAAGCAUAGAUAUGGACAUAAAUGUAGAUAUAUGCAUGUAUCUGCAGAGAAGAGACAAGAAGAGAAGAAACCAGACUGGCAAAUUGUUAACCAAUGGUGAACCUGAGUAAAGGUAUGUGAGUGUUUAUUACAUCACUCUUUCAACUAUUCUGUCUAGUUUAAACUUUUCUUCAAAUAAAAGAUUACGAAAAAAAAAUGUAAACCAAUCAAAUAUCAAGACAACA